rnacentral:rRNA from 1 species
ACCGAAAGGUAUGCUAAUACGAGAUAAAAUACUUUUAUCGCAUGGUAGAAGUAUCAAAGCUUUUGCGGUACAGGAUGGACCCGCGUCUGAUUAGCUAGUUGGUAAGGUAACGGCUUACCAAGGCGACGAUCAGUAGCCGACCUGAGAGGGUGAUCGGCCACAUUGGAACUGAGACACGGUCCAAACUCCUACGGGAGGCAGCAAUGGGGAAUAUUGCACAAUGGGCGAAAGCCUGAUGCAGCAACGCCGCGUGAGCGAUGAAGGCCUUCGGGUCGUAAAGCUCUGUCCUCAAGGAAGAUAAUGACGGUACUUGAGGAGGAAGCCCCGGCUAACUACGUGCCAGCAGCCGCGGUAAUACGUAGGGGGCUAGCGUUAUCCGGAAUUACUGGGCGUAAAGGGUGCGUAGGUGGUUUCUUAAGUCAGAGGUGAAAGGCUACGGCUCAACCGUAGUAAGCCUUUGAAACUGGGGAACUUGAGUGCAGGAGAGGAGAGUGGAAUUCCUAGUGUAGCGGUGAAAUGCGUAGAUAUUAGGAGGAACACCAGUUGCGAAGGCGGCUCUCUGGACUGUAACUGACACUGAGGCACGAAAGCGUGGGGAGCAAACAGGAUUAGAUACCCUGGUAGUCCACGCCGUAAACGAUGAGUACUAGCUGUCG